UAAAAUCUACAUCUGCUUUAUUGUACUGUUAAAUAGGUGAGAGCUUCACAAUUCUCUUUAAACGGAUAUAAAAUACCUAAAAUAUCAUGCUCCACAAAAUCUUGUCAUUGUUGAAAAUUAACCAGUACAACUUGUGGUCAGUAAGUCAUUUAAAUUAACUAAUACAGGUUGUGGACAGAAAGAAAUUUAAAUUAACUAAUACAGAGUGUGGUCAGAAAGUAAUUUAAAUUAACUAAUACAGCUUGUGGUCAGAAAGUAAUUUAAAUUAACUAAUACAGCUUGUGGUCAGAAAGUAAUUUAAAUUAAAUAAUACAGCGUGUGGUCAGAAAGUACGUUAACGAUAACAAAGUAAAACUUAAUGAACACUUAUGGAUUUAACAAAGAAAUAUGUGCUUGAGUUUACUGCAAGAAUCUGCCAAUGGAAAGGGGAAUUGGCCUGGAAUUAAGAUAGAUUGUUGAACUGUUUCUUAACAAAACCUAUAUCACAAUAUAUAGGUUUAUAUUUAUGUUUUAGACUUCAUAUAUUUGUGUUUUAGACUCCAAUUUAGCAUAUAUUAACUGGUGUCUCCUACAGUGUAUCUGUCACCUUUCAGUAUUUCCUAAAAUAUAAUCUUAUGAAACACUUAUUAAGACUGUGUUUGAAUUUCAUUGAAUUUACAACGCAACCAAAAGAUACUAUAAGACAAAGUAGGAACUAGUUUGUCUUAUGGUAAAGCCUGAGGUUGACAAAAGGCAGAGCUCCUCUGUCAACCUUUGCCAAAUGAUGGCUGUGUGAUUCAGGCUUUGACUAUGGAGGAUCCCGCGGUUUUGCAUGAGCAAGUGUACAGCACUGACAUGCAGUGGCGAAACUACCACGUUUGCAGGGGUCGUAGCUGCGACUGGGCCCGCUGUGGACCCCUGCGACUGGGUGCCCAACGUCAUGUAUUGCGGCCCCAGCCCGGGCGGGAUAACCGCCGGGGCCACACAUCCUGGGUCCUAUCAGGUGGCCCAUGCUGUUAGGGCCAUUCUAUGGCAAAGUAUUACCAGGGGGCCCAGUCAGCGUUGCUGUACUUUAACAGCGCGACCGAGCCCCAUGUGAUGACAUCAGAGCUGGGAGGAAGUGACUGCCCCGGUCACUCCUCCCAGCUUACACACACCUUCUCCGGGAGUAAGGAGAGUAGGGAGUCAGCCUGAGCCACCACUGGACCCCAGGGAAGUCACCCUCCUGCAUUUAAAAGGUAGGAAAAAGGAGGGUGACUAAUGUAUGUGUGUGUGUGUCUGUAUGUAUUUGUGUGUGUGUCUCUGUAUGUAUGCGUGUAUGUCUCUCUGUGUGUGUGUCUCUGUAUGUAUCUAUGCCUUUGCAUGUAUGUCUCUGCAUGUACGUAUGUCUCUGUAUGUGUGUAUGUAUGUCUCUGUAUGUAUGUGUGUCUCUGUAUUCAUGUGUGUCUCUGUAUGCGUGUGUGUGUGUCUCUGUAUGUGUGUCUGCAUUUACAUAUGUAUCUUUGUGUUAGUUUGUGUGUCUGCAUUUGCAUGUGUGUCAGUGUGUGUAUGUGUAUCAGCAUGUGUGUCUGUGUAUGUAUCUGUAUGUGUUAUAUGGUAUGUAUCUGCACGUAUGUCAGUGUAUGCACGGGUGUGUCUGUGUAACUUUCACCCCACCACACACACUGUCACCCCUCUUCACCCUGCCACACUCACAAUAACUCUACCAAUCCUGUCACUCACCCAUGCCACACUCACCACCCAUCGCUCUACCAUAUUC
rnacentral:lncRNA from 1 species